UCUCCCAACCACCCCAAGCAAAUUUUGGGGGAUGUGCAAGGGAGAAGUGGAACACACCAUUGUGCAACCGGAAGUCCUCAUUUGUGGAAUCCUGCCCAAUACUUUUUUCCCUUCCAGCUUCCUGUUAGGAUAAGGAUUCUCUGGUGUAUCAAGCAUAAUUCACCAAGAGUUUGCCACAAUUGUCUCCUUCUGUUUGGACACAUCAUACUGAGAACAAAUCAUUGUUUGGUAAAUACUAGUUUUGAACAAUAACCACUCUGUACAAAGACUCCCCCCCCCCAAUUACGCAGACAUUAGGGAAUUAAAACCCUCCAUAACUGAACAACAUUACAAAACAGUAUUUUCCUCUGCUAAGGUUUCUUCAGCAUCUCAGACAUCCUAGUUUGAAAGCUACAGCUAGCAUGUUGAUCUGAUAGCUAUACAUACUCUCUGGACUCUGGGGGUUCUUUUUCUUUUAUUUUGCAACCUUUUGAUCUCACUUCGAAUUGCUAUACAAACAGCAGCUGAACCAACCUGACGUGGAAGGAACCAGAAUGUACAUGCAGGCCUCAACAUGCAGCACAGCCUAUUUUGAUCAAGGAUGUGCAGUCUGUCUCCAUAAACCACACCUCUAUUAAAUAUGAGGGUGGCAGAUAUCUCUUGCAUUGAGUCACAGCCUCCAGGCUCUUGAGUCAAUGCCAACAUGACCCUGAGACUGUCAGUGUUACAGUCUACCUCUGCUAGACCCGUGUGAU